UUAUCUCCACUUAAACUGCGAAAACCCUUACUACAAAACAAUGUGAGCGGUUGUUUAGUGUGAUUAUCCUCAUUCUCCGACGCCGUAGUCUUCCAAUUCAAGGUUUGUUUUGUACAUUCGUUCCAAUUUUUUUAUAAUUUGUCUUUGUUGUGUUCUGAAUUUUGUCACAUGGACAAGUUUCCUUUGAUUUUGGUCACAAGCGAUUAAGUUUAGUUUAAUUUGAUUUUGUUUCUGUUGCUCUGGUUUACUUUGACUAGCUUUGGAACAAACACAAAAUCUAAUAUUGUUGUUUUUGUACAUUCUAAUCAUAUAUCUACUGUUGUUUCCAAGAAUGAGUAAUAUGGGAUCGGUUCCAUUUCGUUCUGUGCCUCGACGAAGGAACGCUUCCACCACAUCAAUAGGUAGCCAAGGAGUUAAUUCUUCUGCAGCAUCAGCUGCUCCUGCUGCCCCAGCUAAACUUCCACAAUUGAGCUUGAAUGAAAUUAUGUCAUCUCCCUCUCGUCGUCUCAAGCCUCGUUUACAUCCAGAUAGACCAUAGCGACCUAAGGAUGUUUGGUUUGGUCUUGAUGAUUGUGUUAGGACUGAUAUCAGUUCGAUAUACCAAAAUGAUUUCAAAGGUCCAUGGAGCUGUAUAAGUAAUGUCCCUCCAGAGCAUCAAAAGCAAUGGUGGUCUAGAUUUGCGCAGCGUUAUUUUUGGGAAGAUGAAUACCAUGACGCUGUUGUCAAAUUAUACCGCAAGCAGCUUAAAGACUUGCUAAAAAACCGUAUCAGCAAGGGAAAGCGAGAUGGAGUAAAGCCUGAUUUUGUUAGUGAUGAUGAUUGGAAUCUGUUGGUAGAACGUUGGGACACAGAACCAGCAAUGAAGAAGUCUAAACGGUGUAGUGACACUACAAGAAAACAGGCGGUUAGCGACUACACUAUUAGUCGCUUUGUAGUCGUAAAAACUGAGGUUACGACUAAAUAGUGACUAACACAAGCAAUCGGAGAUCGAGAGUCGCUAAUUAAUGUAGUCGUAUACAUAGUCGUCUUUCAGCGACUACUUUACGACCAAAAGUUAUAGUCGUCAUAUGGUCAUAACCUAGUCCGUUCGUAGUCGUUAAAGUAGUGUCUGUUAUACGACUAUAGUGUGAUUAAUUAGCACAUACAAGUGGUCUUCUUACUUUGUCGGUUUUUAGUCGUAUAAUUGUGGUGAUAAAUUGGCGACUAAGUACUGACUGAGUGUUUAGUAGUCGCUAUAUAGUCACUUGCCUUAGUGACUAUUUGGAAACUACAACACAACUAUUUGGCCACUGAUGUUGAU